rnacentral:rRNA from 1 species
CCCUUAGAGUUUGAUCCUGGCUCAGGAUGAACGCUGGCGGCGUGCCUAAUACAUGCAAGUCGAGCGGAAAGGCCCUUCGGGGUACUCGAGCGGCGGACGGCAGAGUAACGCGUAGGAACGUACCCCAAACUGAGGGAUAACCUCGAGAAAUCGAGGCUAAUACCGCAUGUGCUCUUCGGAGUAAAGCUUCGGCGGUUUGGGAACGGCCUGCGUAUGAUUAGCUUGUUGGUGAGGUAAAAGCUCACCAAGGCGACGAUCAUUAGCUGGUCUGAGAGGAUGAUCAGCCUGACUGGGACUGAGACACGGCCCAGACUCCUACGGGAGGCAGCAGUAGGGAAUCUUCCACAAUGGGCGAAAGCCUGAUGGAGCAACGCCGCGUGCAGGAUGAAGGCUUUCGGGUCGUAAACUGCUUUUAUCUGUGAAGAUUUAGACGGUAGCAGAUGAAUAAGGAUCGGCUAACUCCGUGCCAGCAGCCGCGGUCAUACGGAGGAUCCAAGCGUUAUCCGGAAUUACUGGGCGUAAAGAGUUGCGUAGGUGGCAUUGUAAGCAGAUAGUGAAAGCGUGUGGCUCAACCAUACUCACAUUAUUUGAACUGCAAAGCUAGAGUAUGAGAGAGGUCGCUGGAAUUCCUAGUGUAGGAGUGAAAUCCGUAGAUAUUAGGAGGAACACCGAUGGC